CCUACGGGAGGCUGCAGUGGGGAAUAUUGGACAAUGGGGGAAACCCUGAUCCAGCGACGCCGCGUGAGUGAAGAAGUAUUUCGGUACGUAAAGCUCUAUCAGCAGGAAAGAAAAUGACGGUACCUGACUAAGAAGCCCCGGCUAACUACGUGCCAGCAGCCGCGGUAAUACGUAGGGGGCAAGCGUUAUCCGGAUUUACUGGGUGUAAAGGGAGCGUAGGCGGGCUGUUAAGUCAGCGGUAAAAGCCCGGGGCUCAACCCCGGCGAGCCGUUGAAACUGGCUGUCUUGAGAUGUCGAGAGGUAUGCGGAAUGCGCAGUGUAGCGGUGAAAUGCUUAGAUAUUGCGCAGAACUCCGAUUGCGAAGGCAGCAUACCGGCGGCGAUCUGACGCUGAGGCACGAAAGCGUGGGUAUCGAACAGGAUUAGAUACCCCUGUAGUC
rnacentral:rRNA from 1 species